rnacentral:rRNA from 1 species
CCUACCAUGCAGUCGAACGAACCCUUCGGGGUUAGUGGCGCACGGGUGCGUAACGCGUGGGAAUCUGCCCUUUGCUUCGGAAUAACAGUUAGAAAUGACUGCUAAUACCGGAUGAUGUCUUCGGACCAAAGAUUUAUCGGCAAAGGAUGAGCCCGCGUAGGAUUAGGUAGUUGGUGGGGUAAAGGCCUACCAAGCCGACGAUCCUUAGCUGGUCUGAGAGGAUGAUCAGCCACACUGGGACUGAGACACGGCCCAGACUCCUACGGGAGGCAGCAGUGGGGAAUAUUGGACAAUGGACGCAAGUCUGAUCCAGCAAUGCCGCGUGAGUGAUGAAGGCCUUAGGGUUGUAAAGCUCUUUUACCAGGGAUGAUAAUGACAGUACCUGGAGAAUAAGCUCCGGCUAACUCCGUGCCAGCAGCCGCGGUAAUACGGAGGGAGCUAGCGUUGUUCGGAAUUACUGGGCGUAAAGCGCACGUAGGCGGUUACUCAAGUCAGAGGUGAAAGCCCGGGGCUCAACCCCGGAACUGCCUUUGAAACUAGGUAACUAGAAUCCUGGAGAGGUGAGUGGAAUUCCGAGUGUAGAGGUGAAAUUCGUAGAUAUUCGGAAGAACACCAGUGGCGAAGGCGGCUCACUGGACAGGUAUUGA